GCAGCCGUCCUGGCUCGCGGCAUCGCCCAGCCCUCAGCGGCCCCCUGAAGACGGAGAUGGUGCGACGUUUGGACGUUGUAUCCAAAGCAAAUGCAAAUAAGCAAAUCCAAAAGUUACGGAGUUAGCAAUUUUUCCAGUCCUGUCCUCUUUGCAAUGAUUGGAGGCAGGUGGGACACUGGCAGGAUAUGAAGGAAAACAUUUCCACUACGGCAAAAGCUUUGUAGAAGGAGAGGGAGGCUGCCUGUGUGUGUGCUUAACUAUUGCAGAAGGAAGAAGCACUGCUGAGGAGGCUGAUACCCAUCAGGAGCAAGGAAAGAGCAAUAAAAAGGCAGACAUUCCUAAAUAUUUGGGAGGACAACACUGGAGAUGUCUUUAGAGUCAGUGCCCUUCCUCUGUAAGAAUCAUAGAACCAUUAUGGUUGGAACAGACCUCUAAGAUCAUCUAGUCUGACCAUCAACACAUCAUCAGAGAUUUGCAUUGCUCAUCCUUCUGGACUCCAAGGGAAACAUCCAGACUCUGUGAACUGAGGAUGACAGAAAGCUGAUGCCAGUGAAAGUGAAGUGAGUAGAUUUUCACUAGACAAGGUUCUUGAGAUUCAAUGUGAAGAAGAAUUUUUCUUUA